rnacentral:rRNA from 1 species
AUUGAACGCUAGCGGGAUGCCUUACACAUGCAAGUCGAACGGCAGCACGGACUUCGGUCUGGUGGCGAGUGGCGAACGGGUGAGUAAUGUAUCGGAACGUGCCCAGUAGCGGGAGAUAACUACGCGAAAGCGUAGCUAAUACCGCAUACGCCCUACGGGGGAAAGCAGGGGAUCGUAAGACCUUGCACUAUUGGAGCGGCCGAUAUCGGAUUAGCUAGUUGGUGGGGUAACGGCUCACCAAGGCGACGAUCCGUAGCUGGUUUGAGAGGACGACCAGCCACACUGGGACUGAGACACGGCCCAGACUCCUACGGGAGGCAGCAGUGGGGAAUUUUGGACAAUGGGGGAAACCCUGAUCCAGCCAUCCCGCGUGUGCGAUGAAGGCCUUCGGGUUGUAAAGCACUUUUGGCAGGAAAGAAACGUCAUGGGUUAAUACCCCGUGAAACUGACG